ACAUCGCAGAGGGUGACAAUCCCGUGUGUGGCGUUGAGAACCGACCACGAAGCGCUUUCUAUGAGUCGGAUUGUUUGGGAAUGCAGCCCAAAAUGGAAGGGAAAAA